AGGCGAACGGCUGAGUAACACGUGGGCAACCUGCCCUUUGCACUGGGAUAGCCUCGGGAAACCGAGGUUAAUACCGGAUACUCCAUAUUUGUCGCAUGGCGAAUAUGGGAAAGCUCCGGCGGCAAAGGAUGGGCCCGCGGCCUGUUAGCUAGUUGGUGGGGUAGUGGCCUACCAAGGCAAUGAUGGGUAGCCGGGUUGAGAGACCGACCGGCCAGAUUGAGACUGAGACACGGCCCAGACUCCUACGGGAGGCAGCAGCA
rnacentral:rRNA from 1 species